UUGUUCUUCUAUUUAAGAAGACUUCAUGCACGGCUAAAUGGAUGAAGCAGAUAAAUUGUUGUCCAAUAUUAUAUAUAAAAGAGAGUUUAUUAGUUGAAGAGAGGUGUUAUUUUAUGGAGCUUUGAACUCAACUCUUGUUCUGAGUUGUUGAGUUAUUGUGAAUAUAGGUUGUUGUAUCCUAGAGGGGACAAGUCAAAGAGUAUUACUGUUGGACCGCGGUGAAACAAUUGCUACAGUGAACUUGAAUCUCCUUAAAGAGAGCGAGACAUCCACGCCUUAGCCGUUGAAGAAGAAAAUAUUAUUUUUUCUUUAUUCAUUUGUAAUUUUUCAAUUGUAACAUUUAUUGCAAUAUUAUUGUAAUUUCACCAACACAUAUGUUAUUGUUUUUGGUUAUUGAAGGAUUAUUAGUAAUUUUGUUGAUUUAGCAGAUUAUGCAAGAGAUGAAGAGUUGGGACACUGAUAUGGAUACGUGAGAGGACACAACUGGUAAUUGCUAAGAUCAAAAUCAAUCAAAAUUUUCAUUAAUAUAUUUACUAUAAUAAUAAUUAUUAUUAUUAUUUUUUACAUUUAUUUAAGUUUAAAGCUGUCAUUGCAAAAGUCUCUUCAAUUUUUUUUUCGUGCUAUUCAUACUAGGACCAGGAUAUAUUCAUGCAAAAUAUAAUCAAUAAGUGAUAUUCGUGUAAUGUACGAACACAGAAACUAGUAUAAACGUAAACCAAGAGUUCAAAACGUUAGUGAUAAGAGUUAAUUUAAUAAAAUAAUUUUUAAUUAAUAUUUUCUUAAAGAAUUAAAAGUGAAAGCAUGUCAAACAAAAUUAAAGUUGUAAAUACGGGUCUGUUCAGUUCAUUCGGGCUUUGAGUUUGACGGGUCAGGUCGGGCUGACCCAUCAAAAUAAUGGGCCAAAAAACACCAAGCCCACACCAUUACUCUGUGGGCUGCGGGUCUCAUGGGUCAACCCGCUUUUUAAAAAAUAAUAUUUUAUAAUUUAAUUUUAGAAUGUUAAUAAACAUAAAUAUUAUCCGACAAUAUUAUAUAAUGUUAAUAUUUGUUAAUCAAGUCUCCAACGCCCAAAAAAUACUUCUAAUAGCGAAAUUAAAUAAUUUUUAAUAUGAUAUCCUUCGAACCAAAUAAAAAUAUUAAUAAACAAUCUAAAUAAUUACAUGUAUUUGACUUACACCUAACCCACAUUACUCAAGCCUCACUGACCAUAAAUUUAUUUGAGCCAGACUAAAAAUUCCUAUGAGAUGAAAAAAAUGAAGCUCAACUUCAUUAAAUUAUAAGCCGGAUCAACCAUACUGUUCGCUCUAAAUAAAAUGAAAUAGUGGAAUGAUUGUAUUUUGACUUAUGCUAGCAUAAAGGACCAACUUAAACUUGGCCACACAAUUUAAGGACUAUUUUGGUCAAAGUAGUAUCCAACACUUUUACGACAUUUAACUUGCAAGUGUGUAGUGGCUAUAAUAAUACUUCCUCCGUCUCAUUUUACUCGUCGAAAUUUUUUAAUUAAUAUCCCACUUUACUUAUUCUUCUUUACUUAUCAAGACAAGAUAAUUUUUUUUCCAUUAUACCCUUAGGGGUCAUUUGGUAGAGUGUAUAAGAAUAAUGCAAAAUAUGAUAUAUUAGUAAUAUUUGUAUUAAUAAUAUUUGUGUUAGUUAUGCUUGCAUUAGUUAUACUUGUAUUUUUCUUAUGCAGUGUUUGGUUAGAUGUAUUAAAAAAACAUGAAUUACAUAAUUUCUAGAAUUUUAUUUUUUUCUUACAUAAUACCCUCAAUAUAUAUGUUAGAAAGGAUGCAGAAUUUUUUUUGAGGGGUAAUAGGGUCUUUAAGCAUGUUAAUGUAUGCAUUAGAUUCAUUGCAUUACUAAUGCCAUGAAUUUUGAGGUAUUAGUAAUAUACACCUUAAUACACAAUAGAGUGUAUAACUAAUGCUUGCAUUAGUUAUACAUAGGGUAAAAAAGUAUAACAAACAAGGUACUACUAAUACACAUUAAACUAAUGCAUGCAUUAAUAUUUUAAUACAAUCUACCAAACGACCCCUUAGUGUAAUUGAUUACUCCUUAUUAUUAGCAUUAGAGAAGCAUGACCUGUGUCAGCACGGGCCCAAUAUUAAGAUAUUUAUUUGUCUUUUCAAUCUUGAUAUAUUUAAAUAAAUUUUUUUUAAUAAAAGGAUUGCAUAUGUUUUCUAGGAUUCAUUCGGAAUCUAACAUAGGUUCAAUAUAUGUUAUUUUAAUAUGUAUUUAGAUAAUUUAAUUUGUUAACUAUUGUAAUUUAUAAUAUUUUUUAUGUAUUUUUCAAAUUAAUAUACGUUACUUUUCCUAUCUAAAUUUUUGUGGCAUUGAUAGUCAAUUAUAUUUUAAAAAUAAUUUAAGUUUUUAAUUAUUGUGAUUUAUAAUACUUUUCUUCUAUUCCAAUUUAAGUGACGCUAAUAUAAUUUCAAGAGCCGGCCAAAUAUUUUAUAUCUUUUAAAUUUUUUAAGUUGUUGAUUAUUGUGAUUUCUAGUAUUUUUCAUGUAAUUUUUUUGAAAUAUAUAACAUAUUAAUUUUUGUUUAGAUAUUUUAAAUUGUUAACAAUUGUAAUUUAUAAUACUUUUUAUGUAAUUUUUGAAUAAUAUAUGCUACUCUCUUUGUCCAGAGUUUUGUGUCGACGAUAGCCAAUUAUAUUUUUUAAAUAAUUUAAAUUUUUAAUCAUUGUGAUUUAUAAUAUUUUUUUAUCUCAACUUAUGUGGCACAAUGCUUAAAUGACCAUAAUAAUUAAUUAAGGGUGAUAUAGUAAAAUCAUGACUGAAGCAGAAAUCAGUCAAUUUUUAAAUGUUUUUUGUUAAUUAUUGUUAUUUACAGUACUUUUUAUUUCAUUUUCAAAUAAUAUAUGUUGCUUUAUAUCUUCUUCUAUCUCGUCUCAAUUUAUGUGGCACUAAUAUAAUUUUGAUAGUUAAUCAAAUAUUUUAUGUUGACAUAUCAUUUUAUUAUUCUUAUUUUUCUAAUACAUAAAUGACUUAUAAUGAGGAUUUAUAUGGUAAAAUCAUCGUUCGAAAGACGAAAAGUUAAUUUAAAACAUUUAGAGUUAAUUUCACAUUUUAUGUCUAUUUUAAUUUUUAUUUUUCAUUAAAUAUUAUUUAUUUUCUUAAUACCUAGAUGACUCAUAAUUAUUAAUUAAGAGCAACUGAUUAUAUUAUUACUAUAAAAAUUAAUAUACUUUUAUCAUAUCCAAUAGUAAUCAUCGAUAAUUCACCAAAAUAGUAUAUUAAUUAAAUACAGGAUGCUAUAUUUGCAUAUGCAAAAUAUGAUAUUAUUAAACAUUAUUGGAUAGUGCAUUAUAUUUAUCUUUCACAAUAAUAAAAUUUUACUAUAUAUUUUUUAUUUCUUUUUAACUUGAUACAUAUUGACCCAACACAAAUUCUAAGAAAAUAUUCAUUAGAAAUUUAUUUUAUUAAAUUAAAUUUAUUAAUUUUUUACAUUAAAAAUUUAAAGUUCAUUUUAAAUAUUAGUAUUUAUAUAUAAGAAAAAAAUAAUUUUAAAAUUUAAAUUUACUAAAAUAAAUAAAUAAAUAAAAAUAUUAAUUACUAUGUAAAAGUCAAUUAAAAUAAUAAAAUUGAUUUACUUUAAAUAUUUAGUUGCAAUUAAUUAGGAUAAUUUUUUAUUUUUUCAUGAUUUAUGCUGCACCGAUAAAAUUUUGAGAGUUGAAUAGAACUUUUAUCUAUUUUUAAAAAAGAAUUUUAACUUGUUAAUUAUUGUGAUUUAUAAUAAUUUUUACGUAACUAUCAAAUAAUACAUUUACUCCUUGUGUUCCAAUUUAUGUGGCUUCGAUAUAAUUUUGAGAGUCAACUAAAUUUUUUAUAUAUCUUUAAAAUAUUUUAAAUUGUUAAUUAUUAUGAUUUGCAGUACUUUUUUUAUCUCAAUUUAUGUGACAUUGCUAAAAUAAUGAGAGUCAAUAAAAUUUCGAUAUGUGGUAAUAAAUUAUUGUGAUUUGUGGUAACAAAUUAGUUUUGAACAUGAUAGCUAAUUAAAUAAAUAAAUAAAAGUUACUUCUAAUAUGUAGUUAUAGUUAAUUAAUAUAAAUUAAUAGAAUAUAUUAAAUAUUUAAAUCAUUAUGAUGAAACAAUGGAAUUACUAUAUAUUGGGGCAUGGUAUGUAAUUAAGUGAAAGUAGUUAUUUUUUUGGUAAUUGUAAGAGGUGGUCGAAACCACCUCUUCUGUAUAAUAGAAAUAGAAAAGAAAAGAAAUUCUUGAAAAAUAUUGCAAACAUGAGUACCAUGAAUAGUACACCAUUAAGAAUAUAACUUAUGCUUUGAUAUUAGUCAUCCAUCAAUAUUGGAACUGUCACGACUCGACCCGAGGUCCUAGCCGCGACGGGCAUCCCGAACCACACAGGGCCGAGAUACCUCUGAACUCCUCCGCCUACUAGUGAUAUUGUUCGCUCUGGGCCCAGGCCCGCACGGCUUUAAAACGCGUCACUAAGGAGUAAGGCUUUCUCACUUAUAUACCCAGCAUUCCUCCUGUGUUUUGUCGAUGUGGGACUCCUUUCUAAGUUGGGGUGUUACAUACACCCCCUUUACGGACUUAGCGUCCUCGCUGAGGUUUUUCCCAUCAAUGAGAUUCGCCUAUACUCACACCCCCUUACGGACUCAGCGUCCUCACUGAGGUUUGCCCCAUCGAAUGGGAUUCGCCUACACUCAGGACUGAGGUUUGCCCUGCCUUACCAGGAUUCGCCUACACUCAAUUUGAACUCUCGCCCACAUCGACAGGGACGACAGAAGAGCGACUCUGAUUAAGGGUGACAAGUGGGCCGGGCCGACCUGGCCCGACCCUGCCCUUGUAACUAAUCCGGCCCGAUUUGACCCGGUCCGGUAAGCCCUAGGGCUUUAGGGUUCCGGGGCCCGGGCCGAUUAUUUUUUUAAAAUGGGCCUGGCUAACUCGGCCCAAUCCAAGCCCACCGGUUAACUGGCCCGUUCCAGGCCCGCCUAUUAACCGGCUCGGUCCAGGCCCGCCGGUUAACUGGCCCGGCCCGAAUACCUUUUUUAAGGAAAAAAAAGGGGAUUUUUGGCCAAACUAGUCGUUGGCCCAACGGCUAUAUAUUCGUUUUUGGGUCCAAACGGCUAGUUUGGGUUCAUUUAUUAAAAACAAAAAAAAAUUAACUUUAAAAAUAAAAAAUUAAUCCCAAAAAAAAUCUAUAAAUACCCUACAACUUCAAAUCAUUUUUCACACAAUUUUUCACUCUCUCAAAUCUCAAUUCUCAAAUAUUCAAUAUAUUUAAUUUCUUAAAGUGUUCACUUUAAUUUUUUAAUUUUUCGUUUAUAAAGUACGAGCGGAAGUUUCUAAAGUCGCAACCUUCAGAUACUUCCAAAAUUUGGUAUUGUCGUUCCAUCUUUUACGUUUAUUUUUUAUUUAUUGUAUUAAUUUUUUAAUAUUUAAUUUUAUUAUAUUUGUGUAUUUUGAAUAUUUUUAGUUUAAUUUAAUUUAUAUUAUGGAUAAAUUAAGAAACCUCGCUACUAAAGGUGUUAAAAAAUUUUGUCCCGAAAAUGGUAGUGGUAGUAAAAAUUGAAUUACUAGCGGUAGAGGUAGUUCAAGAAGUAGAUAUACCCGCGUGCCUUCGCCUCCGGUACCGAUUGGUACACCUUUUGAGAAAGAAAUAGGUGUAGGUGCUCACGAUAUGAAUUAUGUAGAAGCUCAGGAAAAUUACGGUAUAGAAGAACAAAAUGAAGUAGAUGCGGUUAAUUUAGAUGAAGCUAAUGAAAAAAUUGCUGAGACACCCGCAGUAGGAGAUGCUAACGUUAGAUCUGAAUCGGUUAAUCUCCCUCCGCGUUCUCCCAGUGCCCCAAGACCUCGUAAAAUAACUAGUGUUACAUGACAAUUUUUUGAACGUAUAUCAGAUAUUGAGGUGCAACGCAAUAUUUGUCAACAAAUAUAUAAGCAUAGAAGUGGAGGCAAGCAAGGGGGUACGGGUACGUUAAUGAGACAUGUAGCUGAAGAUCACAAAAGAGAGUUAAAUACUGUACAAGGUGGUGGGGGUGUUGGUGGGCCAACGCAAACUAGAAUGGACCCAGCAACCGGUCACGUAGCGAAGAAAUAUAAUAAAUUGAGAGACCGGGAAGAAAUAGCUAAAAUGGUAGCUGUGGGUCGUUUGCCUUUUAGUUUCCUUCUUCUGAUGUUUUUAUUCGUUAUAUACAAGCAAUUUAUAAUCCUAUAUUUAACGGUAUUCCUAGAACUACUUUUCGGUCUAAUAUUUUUAGACUCCAUUCACAAUAUUGUUUUUAUUUAUCAACAUUGUUAAAAAAAUAUUCAAUGUAGNNNNNNNNNNNNNNNNNNNNNNNNNNNNNNNNNNNNNNNNNNNNNNNNNNNNNNNNNNNNNNNNNNNNNNNNNNNNNNNNNNNNNNNNNNNNNNNNNNNNNNNNNNNNNNNNNNNNNNNUGAUGAAAAUCGUAAACAUACUGGACAAUUUAUUGCUGAUUCUAUUGUUAAAAUUGUCGGAUAUUAUGGUAUCGAAAAUAAAAUUUUAUGUAUUGCUUUUGAUAAUGCUUCUAACAACAAGACUGUUAUAACAAAAAUAAAAUCUACAUUAUCUCCGUCCUUGCCUGAAAUUUUUCAUAUUAAGUGCACAUGUCAUAUAUAUAAUUUAAUUAUAAAAGAUGGUCUUGAGUUUUUUGAGCUUUAUAUUGAAAAAAUUCGUCUUGCCGUUAGUUUUAUUCAACGAAAUAAUCGUAGAUCGAGAAUUAGAGAAUUUAAAUUUAAAUGUCAAGAAAAUAGACUUACACCGAUUUUGAUGUCUGAUGAAAUUGAUACUAGAUGGAAUUCUACGUAUGAAUUUUUAAAAACUUAUUAUAAAUAUGAAAUUCCUAUUACACUAGCUUUUAAUCAACAUUGCGGUUCAUUUACUGAUUCUGCUGAUUGCAUGCUACAUAAUUCUGAUUGGGUUGUAAUUAAUGAUCUUGUUAAGUUUUUAGAAAAAAUUUAUGUAGCUACGGUUGAAUUUUUCGGUGCUUAUUAUCCUACUGUUUGUAAUAUUUUGGCAUAUAUAGCCGAUAUUUCUGGUUUGCUCAAAGAAUAUAAAAAUAAAGAAGGUUAUAAAGAAGCUGUUGGCGCCAUGUUUACGAAAUUUAAAAAUUAUUUUUUACCGAUUCCCCCUAUUUACUUGGUUGGUGCUAUGCUAAAUCCGUGCAUGAAAUAUAAUCAUAUGUGUCACUUUAGUACUCUUAUUUAUACUAACUUAGAAAUAAAUACUAACCAUGAUUCUGAACAAGUAAAACUUGAUUGUGGACGGCUAUGGCUGAUGCAAAGGAUUACAUAGAAAAAUUAUAUAAUCACUAUGCUGAUUUAUUUGAUUUAGNNNNNNNNNNNNNNNNCACUUUAGUACUCUUAUUUAUACUAACUUAGAAAUAAAUACUAACCAUGAUUCUGAACAAGUACAACCUGAUUUGUGGACAGCUACGGCUGAUGCAAAUGAUUACAUAGAAAAAUUAUAUAAUCACUAUGCUGAUUUAUUUUAUUUAGACGUACCUACAAAUAUCACUCCAACUGUCGCUCCUCAUCCUCCCGAGGAGCCAUCAUCUUCUAAAAGGCCGACACAUAGUGAUUUUUCUAAUUCGUUUUAUGAUUUAAAUUGUUGAAACAAUGUUGAUGAAAGAACUUACACAUCAACUUAUCGGGAAGAGCUGAAAUAUUAUUUUCGGACGGCACCAGAGGAUCGCAGACGACGGAUCAACACGUUGGAUUGGUGGAGGAAUAAUGAAACACAGCAUCCUGUGCUUUCAAGAUUAGCUAGAGAUAUCUUGAAUGUUUCAAUGUCAACCGUUGCAUCA
rnacentral:lncRNA from 1 species